rnacentral:lncRNA from 1 species
GAUCGCUUGGAUGUCCUGGUUCCCGCUGCAGAGAGUCGAACGGAGAUCUUUCGGUAGUAAGCUGCAAAUGUAGAAUAUCCCCAAGCACGAUAUGAGCAUCAAUAUCCCGGAUCCCUACAACAUGAGUCGAGGCUGCAAGUUGAGGGUCAAAACGAACUGGCUUUACUGGCACAUAGCAUGGCAAAUUAUGUGAUUCCUCAGGUCCAAGGACAGCCCCCUGUGGACCUGAUGGAAUACAGGUACAGUACAAACAGCUAACCAAUCACAGUACACUGUAUCAUUUGAAUUAGUACCCGCCCAGCUUGGAGAUAAUGAGGCCAACGGUUUUACAAUCUAAUUAUCUCCAAGCGCACAAAAGACCACGUUUUAUUAUGUCCCAGAAAACUACAUAAAAAUCCAUAACUUGUACAUUAUUACAGGAAAACCAUUCAUUCUACCAUUCAUCUGAAGGCUCGCGUUCGUAUAGAUAAAACAGGCGAAUGGCGCUCUAAUCCCACGAACAGAAUGUACUGUUUCUGCCGUAUAAAGUCCGUUCGGCAUUUUGAGAUUGUUAGUCUUUGUUGGCGGCCAUGUUUUCUGCUGGUUUAGCGAGCAGCGGGACUUCGUGUCUAACUCGUGGAACUAAACUCGGUAUCAGUCCAUGUGAAGUCCCGCUGUCUGUCUGGUAGUGGGCUCGGUCGGUAAGAGAAUGAGGACCACCUGGGAGCAGGGUACUUGACCUGCGGUUAACCGCAGAAACCACAGUUAAUGAGCGCCACGCGACUCGCUGUAGGGGGUCGUCGUUCGGUGGAUAGUUCGGUAUUUUCCCUUCGGUACUUUGGGUGCGAACGUCGAUGCCCCCAGGCAUAUCAAUUACGUUGUGGUUAACCGCAAACCGCAGCCACCUGGGUGGUUAAUGGCUGCCACACUCCGCGGGCCGGGUGGUCGACCAUUCGGUAGUUUGCGGGGUGACGGGGUUAAGUGGCGGCACACGCCAGUUUCUGGGGGGUCCCCCGUUCGUACCACGAAUGGAGCCUUCAUAAGGGUUCGCGUAAUCCAUUCGUGUGGUUUUCUGCUUAACUUCUGCAGUGGCAAACAGUAUCAAUCGGUGAGUUAAAACAGCAACAUAGUGAUUUCCAGUCUUUUGUAACAGUAGUUAUCAGGGGAUGAUGGGAGAUGUAGUUCACCAUGUAGUCGGAUGAUGGGAGAUGUAGUUCUCCAUGCACAGGGUGAUGGUAGAUGUAGUUAUAUAUGAAGGGGGUGAUGGGAGAUGUAGUUAUCCAUGUAGUGGGAUGAUGGGAGGCGUAGUUAGCUAUGCAUGGAGAUGAUGGGAGAUGUAGUUCUCCAUGCAGUGGGAUGAUGAGAGAUGUAGUUCUCCAUGCAGUGGGUGAUGGGAGAUGUAGUUCUUCAUGCAGGGGAUGCUGGGAGAUAUAGUUCUCCAUGCAGUGGGUGAUGGGAGACGUAGUUCUCCAUGCAGUUGGUGGUGGGAGAUGUAGUUCUCCAUGUAGUGGGAUGAAGGGAGAUGUAGUUCUCCAUGCAGUGGGAUGAUGGGAGAUGUAGUUAUCUAUGCAGGGACGAUGGGAGAUGUACUUCUCCAUGCAGUGG